GGGGUGGGGGCUGUCCACUUGGGGCCCCUGAUGAGCCGAGAUUCUCCCACGAACCCUCGGGCUCUGGGGCUCAUCUGCUUGCACGGGCUCUGAGGACCUGUCCAGGGCUGGAGCCGGGAGCUCAUCAUCCGCAUCCGUGUAGGGCCCCCCGCUAGCCGUCUGUGUAGCGCUCGCCAUCAGUGUACGCGCCGCCCUCGCCUUCCGUCUCCUCCAGUAGUCGCUGUUAACACGGCUGUCGCAGCUGAGGUCAGCAGAGCUGUCGGCCAGGCCGCGGUGAGGGUUGUCCUCCAAGGAGCCAUCCAGCUUAUCUUCCGCCGUCCAGAUGGGCCGCGUCUGCUGCUCUCGAAUGAUAGCCUUGAACUCCUGGUACCAGGUGUCACUCGUGCCAUUCAGAGGGAUGGUGGCUGUGAAGAGGUGGCUGCUCUGCUUCCGCAGCUUCUGGGCUUGUGCGUAGAGGCGGCGGGUACUGCGGCAGGAGGCAGGCGCCAGCCAACUUAGCUCCUUCUAAAUUGUCCUCAUACAUCCAGUGAUUUUCAGAUCAUUUUCAUUCAAAGACUGAUUGAGAAAAUCUCAGAAGAUUAAAGAGAAUAAAGGAUCUGACUUGAAA
rnacentral:lncRNA from 1 species